GAUGAACGCUAGCGAUAGGCCUAACACAUGCAAGUCGAGGGGCAUCACAUGAGGCAGCAAUGCCGAUGGUGGCGACCGGCGCACGGGUGAGUAACACGUAUGCAACCUGCCUUCAACAAGGGGAUAACCCGUUGAAAAACGGACUAAUACCCUAUAAUACAGGGGUCCCGCAUGGGGAUAUUUGUUAAAGAUUGAUCGGUUGAAGAUGGGCAUGCGUUCCAUUAGCUGGUUGGUGAGGUAACGGCUCACCAAGGCAACGAUGGAUAGGGGAACUGAGAGGUUUAUCCCCCACACUGGUACUGAGACACGGACCAGACUCCUACGGGAGGCAGCAGUGAGGAAUAUUGGUCAAUGGACGCAAGUCUGAACCAGCCACGUCGCGUGAAGGAAGACGGCCCUACGGGUUGUAAACUUCUUUUAUACGGGAAUAAAGUGCCCCACGCGUGGGGUUUUGCAUGUACCGUAUGAAUAAGGAUCGGCUAACUCCGUGCCAGCAGCCGCGGU
rnacentral:rRNA from 1 species